CUGGUGUCGGAUACCCUGCAAAAUCCGCCGCUGGAGACAGUGUGUCGGUUCGAGUCCGACCGCCGGCACCA
rnacentral:tRNA from 1 species